rnacentral:misc_RNA from 1 species
GUUCUCUAUUGCUAUUGAUUUGGUUUAACUUGUAGUGUUAUAGUGAUUGAUGAUACUUUGAGUUACUCUUCCAAAUCAUAGUAGUGAUUUCAUGAGGUCUUUAUAGAAUAUGAUGCAAGUUAAUUAUGAGCAUUUUAUUUUCAUAUCAUUUGUCCCUGAAGUAAUCAAUUAAUCAUUAUCUGUGAGCUAUGUCUCUUUGAGAUAUAGCACCUAAAUGAUCUCCAAAUGUAAAACUGUU